rnacentral:rRNA from 1 species
CCUACGGGAGGCAGCAGUGAGGAAUAUUGGUCAAUGGGCGCGAGCCUGAACCAGCCCAGUAGCGUGAAGGAUGACUGCCCUACGGGUUGUAAACUUCUUUUAUAAAGGAAUAAAGUGAGGCACGUGUGCCUUUUUGUACGUACUUUAUGAAUAAGGAUCGGCUAACUCCGUGCCAGCAGCCGCGGUAAUACGGAGGAUCCGAGCUUUAUCCGGAUUUAUUGGGUUUAUAGGGACCGUAGAUGGGUUGUUAAGUCAGUUGUGAAAGUUUGCGGCUCAACCGUAAAAUUGCAAUUGAUACUGGCAGUCUUGAGUACAGUUGAGGUAGGCGGAAUGCGUGGUGUAGCGGUGAAAUGCUUAGAUAUCACGAAGAACUCCGAUUGCGAAGGCAGCUUACUAAACUGCCACUGACAUUGAUGCUCGAAAGUGUGGGUAGCAAACAGGAUUAGAUACCCUAGUAGUC